AGUUUGGCCUAGCGGUCCAGCGAGGGGCUAUUAUUCCUUAGGUCGUCGGUUCGAAUCCGUUUGC
rnacentral:tRNA from 1 species